GUCAAGUUCUUCCACACCAUGCACUUAUCCAAAGAUGUGUUUAUGGAUCUUGUUUGAACACUGAGGCACAGUCAUGUUGGAAUAGAAAAUUGCCUUCUCUAGACUUUGUAGACAAAGUUGAAAGCAUAGUAUUGUUCAAAAUAUCUUGGCAAGCAUUAAAAUUUCCCCUUACUCAAAGUAAGCUGCCUUGAAAAACAGCCCUAUACCAUUAUCCCUCCUCCACCAAAC